GACGAACGCUGGCGGCAUGCUUAACACAUGCAAGUCGAACGGAAAGGCCCUGCUUGCAGGGUACUCGAGUGGCGAACGGGUGAGUAACACGUGGGUGGUCUGCCCUGCACUUCGGGAUAAGCCUGUGCAACUGGGUCUAAUACCGGAUAGGAGCCAUUUUUAGUGUGAUGGUUGGAAAGUUUUUUCGGUCUAGGAUGAGCUCGCGGGCUAUCAGCUUGUUGGUGGGGUAAUGGCCUACCAAGGCGGCGGCGGGUAGCCGGACUGUGAGGCUGGACUGCGACCCUGAGACCGAGAGACGGCAGCGGCACGUAAGGGAGGGAGAAGUGCGGAAGACUGAACGAUGGGCGCAAGCCUGAUGAAGCGGGGCCGCGUGGGGGAUGACGCCGUUAGUGUUGUAAACUACAUGCGCUAGUGACGAAGCUCUUCGUGACGGUACCUAGACAAGAAGCCACGGCUAACUACGUG
rnacentral:rRNA from 1 species